rnacentral:ncRNA from 1 species
CUAACGACAUUGAUGAAGAAUAGUCACCGGGCAUCGACAGAGAGAUUUCUGCAAUGGUGUGAGGAAAUCAACCGCUCGGCCAAUUCACUUCGGAGUCGGCAUCGUGAAACGACAGUAACGAUGUCCGGUCACAGACCGUUAUCUGGAUUAAGUGUUAUUUGUCGACAGAUAAAUAAAAUUAGGGUGGUACCGCGGAUCUCGUCCCUUUG